CCAUGUACUGAAUAAGAAAGAGGUACAGAGUUGUCUUACAAUUGCCACUUCACACAAUACAUAAAUAUAGCAUUACAUCAUCCAGAAUACAAUCAAGGUCCGACUACGGAACCAAAAUAAAGACAACCCCAAAUGCAAAAGAUGCCCGAUCGCCCCAACUGGGCUCCACUACUGAACGUCUGGAAAGGAAAUGUAGUAACGUUCUGAGUCCUCAUCGAACUCCCACUUGAGUUCAGUCGCAUCCCCUGGAAUUGUCUCAUCGGCACCUGCAUCUGGUUUUGGAAGUAAACUGUGAGUCACGGGGACUCAGCAAUCUCACACCCUCGCGAUCAAGACUAUUUAAGCUCAUGGGUAGGAAAAGGUAGUGAGGUGGAGCUGCAGCAAGCACUAGCAUAUAUGGUGGCUAACUUAUGCAAAUGAGAGUGAGAAGAGAAGGCAAAGCACGGUCGAGAAGCUACAGAGAUCAAGAAGUGAUCCUAAAACUACUUACGUUCAAGCAUAACACAAGACUGUGUUCUCUUCCUGGACUCCGCCGAAAAGAGACCUUCACGGUUACACACGCUAUUGAUGCAUUUUAAUUAAGUCAAGUGUCAAGUUCUCUACAACCAGACAUUAACAAAUUCCCAUCUGCCCAUAACCGCGGGCACAACUUUCAAAAGUUUAAAACCCUGCAGGGGUGUCCCAACUUAGCCCAUCACAAGCUCUCACGGUCAACGAAGGAUAUUCCUUCUCCCAGGACGACCCGAUCAGACUUGGAAUCCCGGUUACAAGACUUCUCGACAAUGGUAAAACAAGACCAACAAAGCCGCCCGAAUGUGCUGACAAAUACCGAUAGGAGCUGCACAUAUCUCGUUCUCAGGGCACACCAGAUGAGCGCUCCGUACAACUAAAACCAAACCUCGAGUUUCCCCGAGGGGGCGCUGCAAAGGACUCUAGUUUGGACCAACACUCAGAGGACCACUGGCCCGGGGGUUUAAAAUAAAGAUGACCCUUGAGUCCGCGGAACCCAAGGGAAAAAGGCUUAGGUGGCAAAUGGUAAAACCAUGGUCGGGCCUUGCUGGAGGAGUUUUAUUCAAGGCGAACUGUCAAGGGGUUCCCAUUAUAACCCAACCGCGUAAGGAAUGCAAAAUCAAGGAACAUAACACCGGUAUGACGGAAACUAGGGCGGCAAGAGUGGAACAAAACACCAGGCAUAAGGCCGAGCCUUCCACCCUUUACCAUGUAUAUAGAUGCCUCAAAAUAGAUCAAGACAUAAUAAUGAUAUCCCAACAAUAGACAUGUUCCAACAAGGAACAAACUCCAAUCUUCACCUCCAACUAGCAACACUAUAAGAGGGGCUGAGUGAAGCGGUAACAUAGCCAAACAACGGUUUGCUAGGACAAGGUGGGUUAGAGGUUUGACAUGGAAAUAUGGGAGGCAUGAUAUAGCAGGUGGUAGGUAUCACGGCAUAGGCAUAGCAAUAGAGCGAGCAACUAGCAAGCAAAGAUAGAAGUGAUUUCGAGGGUAUGGUCAUCUUGCCUGCAAAGUUCUCCGAGUUGACGUAAGCUUGAUCCUCGUAAGCAUACUCAACGGGUUCCUCGAUCACGUACUCGUCUCCCGGCUCUACCCAAGGCAAGAACACAAGCAAAGGCAAACACAAUCAACCACGAUGCAACGCGCAAGCAACAUGAUGCAAAACAUGGCAUGAUAUGCGGGAUGUAAUAUGCAAUGCAUAUGCGUGCUCUGUAAGGAAAAGAUUGACCCAGGCCUCAACUUGGCAAAUGAAGAGCGCCGCCGGAAAGAUGAGUUGAUUUCGGUCGAAAUCGAUAUAAAUAUCACCGGAAUCGGAUGCACGGUUUGCAAAUGGCAAGCAAAAUAAUAAUGGCACUAUUCUGCGAUUAACAGCACGAUGCCAUCUAAAAUUCAACAAGAAAAUAAGCUACAUCACUCUAACAUAGCAACAAAGCAUGGCAGUGAUCCACUCAAAAUUCUUAACAAAAUAUGAACACUUAUCUAUGGCUAAAUCAGACAAUAGAAGGUUCAAACAAGCAUGGCAAAAGUGCAAAAGAUAACAGCAUCUCAGACUUAGUGAAAAUAACAUGUUAGGAUUUAACAUCAGGAAGCAAUGUUUAGAGCAAGAUAACAACAUGCUACAGGAACAUAUCAUGGCAAAGUAAGGCAUGGCAUGAAACUACUCAAAUCAUAUAGCAAAAUUCCCUUACUGACCAUAAGCCAAAAAGGAUCAGAAGAUAUGAUGGAACCCAUGUAAACAUAGCAAGUUUCGUUAACAGAUUCCGACUUAGCAGAAAACUGGACAUGGCAAAAAUAGAGUUAUGUAGGCAUGUUUGCGAGCUUGAUGCACUCACCACAAGGCAUUUCAUGGAAAACUAAGCAUACGCUCAGCAAGAAGACAUGAUCACGUAGCUAACCAUGGCAAGAACAAUCUCAUAGCAUGCAUGGAACAACUACAACAACCUCGGCAAAAUUGAUUAACACGUAAACAAUUUGCCAGGAACAUUUUAUACCAAAAGUAGAGCAAUAUUGAGUCAUGCUAGGGUACUCCAUAAUUGCAAACAAAGACAUGGAUGGAUAGAACAUAACAAUAUCUCAAAAUCAUCCUUACUGAACAUGCUCAAAAGAGGCAUAGAUCACUCUAUAGCAACAUGAAUACAUGGCAUACAAAUAACAUCAGGGAAAUGACUUAGAAUAAUUCUAAGCCCCUGAAAUCAGCAACAUCACGAGAGCUACUUUGCAUGCUUGUGCUAGUCACCACAUUGAUCACAAAAAUACAUGGCAUACACCCUUGUAAAGAUGGCAUAGCAUAGCCCAAAGCACAUGUAGGGCUCAAGUUCAUAGGAGGCACACAAUAAUCAUGGCAAAAAUGACAAAUGAUCAUAAUCUAUUAAGAAACAGAAACUAACAUUAUAUAGCACUCUUGCAACAGUAUUUUAGGCAUUAAGAUGGACUCAAACAAGCAUGGUGCAAUGGAAUGAAAUGAAGAGGACAUCCUAACUAACAUUUUGAUAUAUCACAAGCGCAAAACGGAGCUAUGGACGAUGAGAUAUGGCAUCAUGAAGAAUGCUUGAAAAAAUAACAGAAAAGACUUGAGUAUUUCGGGUCAAUCCUAAAACUCCAGAUCUGGAUCUGGCGCGGACUUCGAGGUUCUCCGGAACAGUGCAGGGCUCGCCGGAGUUGCUGGCCGAAGUUGAAGGCGAGGACGCCGGCGUCGAGGAGGUAGAGGAGCAGGGAGGCGGGCGAGGUGCCGGCGAGGUGCGGGCGGCGCCGCGGCAAGGUCCGACGGGGAAGCCGGGUGGCGAGCUCGCCGGCGUGGCUUGACGCGGGAGCGGGCGGGGGAGCUGCGCGGUGGUCGGCGGUCGGUGAGGAGCUCCGUGAGGCGGCGACGCGGAGGCGAAGGGAGGCGCGGGCAGAGCGGGCCGUGGGGGCCGGAGACGGGCCUCAGCGGGCCGGCGACGGGACGCGGUGGCGGAGGCCACGUGGUGUGCUCCUAUUGGCGCGGCCGCGGCAGUGGAGUAGUCCGGCGGCGCGUGGACAUGUCUGGUGGUGGCGGGGAGGAGUUUAUCUAGGGUUUCGCCCGAAUUUCGGAGGGGGAGGCCUAUUUAUAGAUUUUGGGAGCUAGGAGAGUCCAAAUGAGGUGCGGUUUUUGGCCACACGAUCGUGAUCGAUCGGCCGAAAGGAUGGAGGGGGUUUAGAUGGGUUUUGGGCCACUUUGGAGGGUUGUUGGGCUGCAACACACACGAGGCCUUUACGGUUCCCCGGUUAACCGUUGGGGUAUCAAACGGACUCCAAAUGGCACGAAACUUGACAGGCGGUCUACCGGUGGUGUACCAAGGCCGCUUGGAAAAUCUCGGUCCAAUCCGAGAACGUUUAACACCCACACACGAAAAGAGGCAAAAUGGGGCGCCGGAGGAUGUAGGAGUGCCAGAAUGCAAAACGGACAACGGGGAAAAUGCUUGGAUGCAUGAGACGAACACGUAUGCAAAUGCGAUGCACAUGAUGACAUGAUAUGAGAUGCAUGACAUGGGCAAAAUGCAAAAUGAAGACAAAACCCAACCACGUGGGAAUAUCAUAACUUAAGAGCCGAAAAUGGCAAGAGUUGGAAUACAAAUAUGGCAAGUUACAUACGGGGCGAUACAACACUCCACCACCACGAAAGGAUCUCGUCCCGAGAUCUAGGACUGGAAAAACUCCGGAUAUUCGAAUAGGAGGUGGUCCUCGCGUUUCCAGGUGGCUUCACGGCCGAAAUGAUGUGACCACUUCACUUUCAGGAAUUUGAUAGAUUUGUUGCGAGUCUUGCACUCAGUUUCUUCAAGAAUAGCAACGUGAUGCUCAUGAUAAGACAAGUCUUCUUGGAGAUCAAUCCCUUUGAUACCGAAGCGACGAGUACCUUUCAUUGGAGAGACGCGGAGGUAGACAUGGUCUCCGAUCUCGAAAGCCAAGUCGCGAUGCUUGCUAUCAUAGUAACUCUUUUGGCACGAUUGCGCGGCUUUGAGAUUUUCACGAAUGACUUUGCACAUUUCUUCAGCCUCUGUGAUCAAGUCAUUGCCAAGAAGUUGGCGUACACCAAUCUCUGACCAGUUAAGAGGACUACGGCACUUUCUGCCAUAGAGAAUCUCGAAUGGGGCCUUGCCCGAACUCGCUUGGAAGCUGUUGUUGUAGGAGAACUCGUCAUAUGGAAGACAAUCUUCCCACUUCAUACCGAAAGAAAUGACACAAGCCCUGAGCAUAUCUUCAAGAAUUUGAUUUACUCGCUCGACUUGGCCACUAGUUUGAGGGUGAAAAGCUGUGCUGAAGCGAAUGUUGGUGCCCAUGGCCUUCUGGAAGGAAUCCCAAAACUUAGAAGUGAAGAUGCUUCCAUGAUCUGAAGAUAUUAACUGUGGAAUGCCGUGCAAGGAGACAAUCCUGGAGGUAUAUAGCUCUGCCAACUGAGCUGCUGUGAUAGAUUCUUUGAUAGGAAGAAAAUGAGCCACUUUAGUGAGCUUGUCGAUGACAACAAAGAUAGCAUCAUUGCCACACUUGGACUUGGGAAAUCCCAUCACGAAGUCCAUCUCAAUAUGGUCAAACUUCCAUUCUGGAAUGGCAAGAGGUUGGAGGAGACCAUCUGGUCGUUGGUGUUCUGCUUUCACUCUUCUGUAGACAUCACAUUCAUUCACGAACUGAGCAAUCUCUCGCUUCAUUCGAGUCCACCAAUACGACUGCUUGAGAUCAUGGUACAUCUUUGUAUUUCCAAGAUGAAUAGAUAGGAGUGAAUUGUGAGCCUCGUUCAUAAUGACUUUACGAAGGUCACCCUUAGGAACAACAAUGCGAUCCUCGAAGAAUAGAGUAUCUUUGUCAUCAAGGCAAUAGCACUUGUACUUGGGUUGGCUCUUGGCAAUCCCAAUCUUCACCUUCUUCACCAUUGCAUCAAGAAGUUGUGUCUUAGGAAUCUGAUCUUCCAAAGUAGGAGAGACUUGGAGGUUGGCAAGGAAUCCUUGAGGAACAACUUGGAGAUUAAGCUUGUGGAAAGCUUCACAAAGAUCUGGUUGGAAGGGCUUGACAAUCAAACUGUUGCAGUAAGCCUUCCUGCUCAAAGUGUUAGCAAUGACAUUGGCCUUGCCUGGAGUAUAUUCAAUACUCGGAUUAUAAUCUUGAAUCAUCUCAACCCAAUGAGUCUGCCUGAGGUUGAGGUUGGGCUGAGUGAAGAUGUACUUGAGACUCUUAUGAUCAGUGAAGAUGUCCACUUUUCUUCCCAACAAGAGAUGUCUCCAUGUUAAAAGAGCAUGGACAACUGCCGCUAACUUGAGGUCAUGAGUGGGGUAGUUCUUUUCGUUGGGUUUCAACUAGCGAGAGUUAUAGGCCACAACUUUCUUCUCUUGCAUUAACACAGCAUCGAGACCUUGCAGGGAAGCAUCACAGAAAACCUUGAACGGUUUGGAUUCAUCAGGAGGAGUCAGAACUGGAGCUGUGACUAACUUCUCUCUGAGGGUGUUGAAAGCGAUGUCACAUUCAGGCGUCUAGAGGUACUUCACAUGCUUCUGGAGGAGGUUGGAAAGAGGCUUAGCGAUCUUAGAGAAAUUGUCAACGAAUCUUCGACAAUAGCUUGCGAGCCCAAGGAAGCUGUGGAGCUGCUUCACAUUCUGAGGCGGUUCCCAAUUCACAAUUGCAGACACCUUCUCAGGAUUAACAGCUAUGCCCUUGGCGAAGAUGAUAUGCCCAAGGUAGAGAACCUCAUCGAGCCAAAACUCGCACCUUGAAAACUUCGCAUAGAACUGAUGUUCUCUAAGUUUGUCCAGCACCAAUCUCAAGUGCUUGGCAUGAUCCUCCUUGUUCUUGGAAAAGACCAAAAUGUCAUUGAGAUAGACCAAGACGAAGUCAUUUGUGUAAGGGUUGAAGAUGAAGUUCAUCAUGCGAGAGAAUGUUGGAGGAGCAUUGACAAGGCCGAAAGACAUGACAGUGUAUUCAUAAGAACCAUAGCUUGUUCUGAAUGCCGUCUUGGGGAUAUCUUGUUCACGAAUGCAAAUCUGAUGAUAGCCCUCCAAGUUGGACCAAAACCCACCAAAACCCUCUCCAUCAUCUAGAGCGUUAGAUCACGAUCGCGUGGCCGCAAACCGCAUCUCAUUUGGACUCUCCUAGCUCUCUCUAUGCCUAUAAAUAGAUCCUCCACCGAAAAUUCGGAUCUCUCCCCCGAAACCCUAGCCCUCUUCUUCCUCCGUGCGCCGGACAACGUCCGCCAGCGCCGGACGUGUCCGCUGCACCCGCCGCCGCCACAUGGCACCUCCCCAUACGCCUGGCCGCCUCCCUCCGCCGCCGGCCCGCCGAGCCCAGGCGGGGCCCCCNNNNNNNNNNNNNNNNNNNNNNNNNNNNNNNNNNNNNNNNNNNNNNNNNNNNNNNNNNNNNNNNNNNNNNNNNNNNNNNNNNNNNNNNNNNNNNNNNNNNNNNNNNNNNNNNNNNNNNNNNNNNNNNNNNNNNNNNNNNNNNNNNNNNNNNNNNNNNNNNNNNNNNNNNNNNNNNNNNNNNNNNNNNNNNNNNNNNNNNNNNNNNNNNNNNGCCCUUCACCGGAGAGCGCCACCCCGCGCCGGCGUCCGCUUCCUCCGCCGCCUCGCCGCUCCACCUCGCCGCCCAAAGCCGGCGACCGCCCCGGUGCUCCCUCCGGCCGGCGAGCCCCUCCACUCCGGCGCCCCGCGACAACUCCGGCGAGACACGACACUGUUCCGGCGAGUUUUUCAGCUCCGACCGGCCAUCCUCGACAUCCGGGCCAGAUCUGGAUCUGAGAUCCCGUUUGGGUUGACUUUUGCCCCGAAACCCUAGCUCAUAUGCUCCUGUUCAUUGCAUCAUAACUCCGCAUUCGUAGCUCCGUUUUGGGCAUUUAGCUUAUCAAAAUGUUCGUCUCAGAGAGCACAUCAUUUCAUUCCAUUGCAUCAUUUUCAUUUGAGUUCAUCUUGAUGCCCGAAAUGCUAUUAGAAGAGUGCUACUUGAGAUAAUUGUCAGAUCUGCUGCUCCAGUUAGAUAUGUCAUUUUUGCCAUGAUUAUUGUGUGCAUGAUAUGCCCAUGAGUUCUACAUAUGUGUUGUUAAGGGUUUUGCCAUCUUUAAAGAGGUGCAACCCAUGUAUUUUUGUGAUAUGUGUGGUGACUAGCACAAGCUUGCAAAGUGAGGCACUUGGUAAUUCUGAUUUCAGGGACUUAGCAUUUACACUAAGUCCUUGACCUGUUUAUCUCUUAUGGCCAUAUGUUCAUGUUGUUUCCAAGUGAUCCGUGCCUCUUUUGAGGAUGAUCAGUAAGGAUGUUUUGUUAAUCUUGUAGUGCUCUAUCCCUCCAUGUCUUUGUUUGAAAUUAUGGAGCAUCCUAGCUUGAGUCAAUCGAGCUCUACUUUUGCUACUUCGUGAAUCUGGGCAGAUUGUCUACUUGUUAGCGAUUUUUCCGAGGAUGUUGUAGUUGAUCCGUGCAUGCUAUGCUAUUGUUCUUGCCAUGUCUCGCUUGCAUUUUGUGUAUUCUUGAUGGAUGUAUGCUUAGCUUGUCAUGACUUGCUCCGUAGUGAGUGCAUCGAGCUUGUAAACAUGCCUACUUGAUAUCUAUUUUCAGCAUGCUCCAGUUUUCACUAAGUCUGAGAACUGAUUAUGUUUUUGCCAUGUUCACAUGCUUGCAAUUGUAUUUUCUGAUCCCUUUUGGGCUCAAGGUCACUAAGGAACUUUUGUUAAGCUCUUUACGUAGCUCCAUGUCAUGCUUUACUUUGUCAUGUUCAGGUCCUAUAGCAUAUAGUUUUGUUGCUCCGAAAAGUGCUAUCUGAUCUGAAAUUCCAGACAAGUGUUAAUUUUACUAAGUCUGAGAUCUGUUUACCAUAUGUAUUUUUGUCAUGCUUGUUUGAACCUAUUAAUGGAUGAAUUGGCCGUAGCUCAGUGCUAGACUUUUGUUAAGCAUCAUGAAUGCAUCCCUGCCAUGUAUUUUUUUGUCAUGUUUGAAUGUUGUAGCAUGUUCAUCUCAUUGCAUUUAGAUGACUACUUGCUGUAAAUCGCAGAACGUGGUCAUAUUUGAAUUGCUUGCCAUUUCCAAACCGUAACUCCGAUUCCGGCGUUCUUUAUAUCGUUUUCAAGCGAUUUCAUCUCAUCUUUCCAGUGGAACACUUGGAUUCCCAAGUUGAGGCCAGGUUCAUGCAUCCCUUGUCAAAUCUUGCAUAUGCAUCCCACAUCGCAUCCCGCAUAGCAUAUCAUCUUUGCAUGAUAUCGUUUGAGCUUUGCACGUGGUUGAUUGUGCCCUUGCUGCUUGUUUGUCUUGUUUGGGUAGAUCCGGGAGAUGAGUUCGCUAACGAGGAGCCCGUUGAGUUUGCUUUCGAGGAUCCAAUCAACUCUGACAACUUUGUAGGAAAGAUGAUCCUACCCUCGAAAUCACUACUAUCUUUGCUUUGCUAGAUGCUCGCUCUUUUGCUAUGCCAAUGCUACGAUGCCUACCACUUGCUUUCAAGCCUCCCAAAUUGCCAUGUCAAACCCCUAACCCACCAUGUCCUAGCAAACCGUUGAUUGGCUAUGUUACCGCUUUGCUCAGCCCCUCUUAUAGCGUUGCUACUUGUAGGUGAAGAUUGGAGGCCGUUUCAUUUUGGAACAUUGUUUACUUGUUGGGAUAUCAUUAUAUUAUCUUGUUAUCUUAAUGCAUCUAUAUACUUGGUAAAGGGUGGAAGGCUCGGCAUCUCGCCUAGUGUUUUGUUCCACUCUUGCUGCCCUAGUUUUCGUCAUAUCGGUGUUAUGUUCCCGGAUUUUUGCGUUCCUUACGCAGUUGGGUUAUAAUGGGAACCCCUUGACAGUCCAUUUUGAAUAAAACUCCUCCAGCAAUGCCCAACCUUGGUUUUACCAUUUUCCACCUAGCCUUUUCCCUUGGGUUUCGCGGACUCAACGGUCAUCUUAUUUUAAACCCCCCGGGCCAGUGCUCCUCUGAGUGUUGGUCCAACCUAGAGCACCGUGCGGGGCCGUCCCUUGGCAACUUGGGUUAUGUUGGCUCCCGUACGCUUAGCUUAUCCGGUGUGCCCUGAGAACGAGAUAUGUGCAGCUCCUAUCGGGAUUUGUCGGCACUGCGGGUGGUGUUGCUGGACUUGUUUUACCAUUGUCAGAGUUGUCUUGAAGAACCGGGAUACCGAGUAUGAUCGGAACGUCUCGGGAGGAGGUCUAUUCCUUCGUUGACCGUGAGAGCUUGUCAUGGGCUAAAUUGGGACUCCCCUGCAGGGAUUUGAACUUUCGAAAGUCGUGCCCACGGUUAUGGGCAGAUGGGAAUUUGUUAAUGUCCGGUUGUAGAUAACUUGAUCCUUAGCUUAAUUAAAAUGAAUCAACUGAGUGUGUUACCGUGAUGGCCUCUUCUCGGCGGAGUCCGGGAAGUGGACACGGUGUUGGAGUAAUGUUUGCGUAGGUUGUCCUCUAGUUUCUCCCUCGCGCUUUGCCUUCUCUUCUCGCUCUCUUUGGCGAACAGGAUAGCCACCAUAUUUGCUAGUCGCUUGCUGCAGCUCCACAUAUUUUACCUUGCCUUUCCUAUAAGCUUAAAUAGUCUUGAUCGCGAGGGUGCGAGAUUGUUGAGUCCCUGUGGCUCACAGUUUACUAUUACACUAGAUGCAGGGCCUGAUGAUUCCGCUCCAGGUGACGCGCUUGAGCUCAAGUGGGAGUUCGACGAGGACUCUCAAUGAUACUAUGUUUCUUUUCCUGAUGAUCAGUAGUGGUGCCCUGUUGGGGGUGAUCGGGACCGUGUCGCAUGUUAGGUUAUCUUUUAUUUUGGCGAUGUAGUCGGGCCAUGAGUGUUUGGAUGAUGUAAUGUUAUUUAUGUACCUUGAUUGACGUGGCGAGUGUAAGCCAACUAUGUUCUCCCCUUUUAUUAUCUAUAUAUUACAUGGGAUGUUGUCAUGAUUGCCUAACUUGCGACAUUGCUUUCAAUGCGGUUAUGCCUCUAAGUCGUGCCUCGACAUGUGGGAGAUAUAGCCGUAUCGAGGGCGUUACAAGUUGGUAAUCAGAGCCUUCCCCGACCUUAGGAGCCCCCACUGAUUGAUCGUUUUAGCAGCCGAGUUGUGUCUAGAAAAAAAUGUUUUGAGUCAUUUAGGAAUUAUAUAUCAGAGAGUUUAGGAAUUCUUUUUGCUUCCCAGUCUCCUCAUCGCUCUGGUAAGGCAUCCUGACGUAGAGUUUUGGCUCUUCUCUUCUCAAAUUUCACUAAAAAAAUUUAGGAUCACGCGGGUAUCUUGGAAUCGUUCCGAUGGCUUUAUGACGAGAACAUUGUCUUGGUGCCUCCUAUCAGGGGUUUUGUGGAAGUGUCCCGGGGAGUUGAGCUCUGAGGUGUUGUCGUCAUAAUUUUAUCGUUGCAAUUCUGGAAUACCUGAGUUUAGUAUGCCGACAUCGAAAAUCUCUUUUAUGUAGUUCGUUGGUGAGAUAACCUCGACGCCACCCAGUACUGGGGCGGGAGUUCGGGAGUACCGCCAUAACUUGUAUAACGGAUGCUUUUCGAAGGUUGAGGUAGAUGGUUUCCGAAGUUUUUCUCGGUUAUGUGUUGAAGGAUGGAUACGGCUGGAUGUAGGAUUUGCUAGAUUUGGGUGAGAUAUUAUGCUUCCCCUGUAUCCCCAACACCUGAUUGCAUAACCAGAAAGGUUCGGGAGUUUCAUAGGUGGGAAUUCUCGUAACUCUAGUUCUUCUUCCACGGAUAUUGGUUUGAGAUUGGGAUUUCUUACCGAGUAUUCGUUCUUGAUCCGUACCUUGUUGAUUUAUUUCUCUACCUAAAUUCUAAGUGGCUUCUCAAUUUAUGGAUAUGUGGCCAUUUCAAGAGGAAUGCAUUCGUUCAUUUUGUUCGGAUGUGAAGACUAUAUGUUGCAAUUUUCAUUCUGUUGGAUUCAGCGUCAUUUUAUCUGUCUAUGUGACCUCUUCAGGAUGGCUCCCGCUAAGAGCACCAGUCAGAAUCAGAAUCAAGAUCCGCCACCACCUCCACCUCCUCCGGAGGCAUGGCAAGCUGUGAUGGCCGCAACCAAUGCAAACACACAGUUGAUCAUCUAAAUUCUUCAAGAGCGAAAUCAAGGCAACCAAGGGAACCAAGGCAACAAUCAGAAUCACUUUGCUACUCUCAACUAGUUCCUUGCUAACGGACCAAAGACUUUCAGCAAUUGUGUUGAGGCAAUCGAUGCUGACGAUUGGCUCGUGGAUCUGUGCAAGCAUUUCGAGUGCAGUAACGUCAGGUCUGAGGACUUUGUCAAGUUCGCUUCCUUCCAACUCAAAGAUCAAGCUCCAGAAUGGUUCCAGCAAUACAAGGAUUCCAGAGGUGGACGUGUUAUUACCUGGGAUGAAUUCCGUCAAGAUUUUAGAGCUCACCAUAUCCCUCAGAGCAUGGUUGAAAGCAAGCGUGAGGAAUUCCGCAACCUGAAGCAAGGCUCUUUGUCUGUCUAUGACUACAACAAGUUGUUUCAGAAGCUCGCCCGCUUUGCCAAGCAGAAUGUCCCUGAUGAGAAGAGCAUGAUAUACCAGUUCAGGGGUGGUCUCAGAGAAGAAAUUCAGCUAGCUCUUGUUCUCUUCGAGCCCUUGAGAUACGACGAGUUCUACAACAUGGCACUGAAGCAAGAGGCCGCUCAAUUGAGGUGUGAUGCUUCCAAGAAGCGAGUCAGAGAUGCUACUCCUUCUUCCUCUACUCAAGUGGCCAAGCAGUAGAAGUAUUGGCUUCCUCCUCCUCCGUUCCGUCAGCCGUAUCAGCAGAAGAGCAAGGGUGGCAGUGGAUCUUCCCACCCACCCAACCCUGGUUUUCAGAACAAGACUUCGUGUCAAGCUCCAAGAUCGAGUGCUCCGUACCACCGUCCGCUUUCAGAGGUCACGUGCAACAAGUGCCAACAGAAGGGUCACUAUGCCAACAAGUGCUUCAAUCAGAGGCGUCUCCCUCGUCCUCCUCCUCCUAUGAGAUCGGCAAGUACAGCUGUGGUCAAGCAUAACCCCAAGCACGCCAAGGUCAACUUGCUGAAUGCAGCUCAGGCAGAGGACUCAUCAGAUGUCAUCAUGGGUAACUUUCCAGUUAACUCUUUUCCCGCAAAAGUUCUUUUUGACACUGGUGCAUCACAUUGUUUCAUGUCAAGAUCAUUUGUUUCCAAGCAUGACUUCGUUUCGCAAAUGUUGGGUAAUCCUAUGGGAGUGGUUUCUCCGGCUAAGUCUAUGAGGGCUACUUCAAUAGUCCCGGAUAUUUCUAUCAUGAUGGGUGAUUUCAAGUUUCUGGCUCCCCCAAUGGUUCUUGGUAACUCGGAUAUUGAUCUUAUUCUCGGGAUGGAUUGGCUUUCUAAGCACAAGGCUCAGCUUGAUUGUGCAGCCAGGCAGAUUCAAUUGACUCAUUCGUUUGAGGAUGUAAUUGUCUUUGCCACGAAUGACGAUACCAUCCGUCUAUUUUCUCUCAAUGAGAAGGGUGAACUAGAUGCCAUCUCGCAAAUUCCAGUUGUUUGCGAAUAUCAAGACGUCUUUCCAGAAGAGCUUCCAGGAAUGCCUCCGCACCGGCCAGUUGAAUUCGUCAUUGAUCUUGAGCCCGGCAUGGAUCCUGUGUGCAAGCGUCCUUACAAGCUCGGACCUGAAGAGUUGAAGGAGCUGAAGAAGCAACUCGAUAUUCAAGAGAGAAGGGGUCUCAUCCGGCCUAGUUCUUCUUCGUGGGGUUGUGGUGUUCUUUUUGUGAAGAAGAAGGAUGGAACGGAUCAACUUUGUGUUGAUUACCGUCCAUAGAACAAGAAGACCAUUAAGAACAAAUACCCACUUCCCAACAUCAACGAGCUGUUCGAACAACUCAAAGGUGCCCAAGUAUUCUCCAAGCUUGAUCUCCGUAUGGGUUAUCAUCAGAUUCGAAUCCGUGAGCAAGAUAUUCCCAAGACGGCUUUCAGAACAAGCUAUGGUUCAUAUGAAUACACUGUCAUGUCUUUUGGCCUCGUCAACGCUCCUCCGACGUUCUCUCGCAUGAUGAACUUCAUCUUCAACGCCUACUCCAAUGAUUUCGUUUUGGUCUAUCUCAACGACAUUCUGGUUUUCUCGAAGAACAAGGAAGAUCAUGCCAAGCACUUGCAUUUGGUACUCGAUAAGCUGAGGGAACACAAGUUCUACGCCAAGUUCUCCAAGUGCGAAUUUUGGCUCGAUGAGGUUCUUUAUCUUGGUCAUAUCAUCUCUGCCAAGGGCAUUGCCGUGAAUCCUGAGAAGGUGUCUGCAAUUGCGAAUUGGGAACCUCCUCAGAACGUGAAGCAACUCCGUAGCUUCCUCGGUCUCGCAAGCUACUGCCGAAGAUUCGUUGAAAACUUUUCCAAGAUCGCGAAGCCUCUCUCAAAUCUUCUCCAGAAGCACGUCAAGUACGUUUGGUCUCCGGAGUGUGACAUUGCUUUCAACACUUUUAAAGAGAAAUUGAUCACUGCUCCAGUACUGACUCCGCCCGAUGAAUCCAAGCCGUACGAGGUCUUUUGUGAUGCUUCUCUCCAAGGUCUUGGCGCAGUGUUGAUGCAAGAGAAGAAAGUGGUUGCUUAUACCUCUCGCCAGUUGAAGCCCAAUGAGAAGAACUACCCCACUCAUGAUCUCGAGUUGGCGGCAGUUGUGCAUGCUCUUUUGACUUGGAGACAUCUCUUAUUGGGAAGAAAAGUGGACAUUUUCACUGAUCACAAGAGUCUCAAGUACAUCUUCACUCAGCCUAAUCUCAACCUCAGGCAAACUCGAUGGGUCGAAAUGAUUCAAGAGUAUAAUCUAAGUAUUGAGUAUACUCCAGGCAAGGCCAAUGUGAUUGCUGACGCAUUGAGCAGGAAGGCUUAUUGCAAUAGUCUAAUUCUCAAGCCUUAUCAACCCGAGCUUUGUGAAGCUUUCCGCAAACUUAAUCUGCAAGUUGUUCCUCAAGGUUUCCUCGCCAACCUUCAAGUCUCUCCUACCUUGGAAGACCAGAUUCGCCAAGCUCAGCUUCUUGAUGCUAUGGUGAAGAAGGUGAAGAUUGGGAUUGCCAAGAGUCAACCCAAGUACAAGUGCUACCGCCUUGAUGACAAGGAUACUCUCUUCUUCGAGGAUCGUAUUGUUGUACCCAAAGGUGACCUCCGUAAAGUGAUCAUGAAUGAGGCUCACAAUCCUCUCCUCUCCAUCCACCCUGGGAGCACGAAGAUGUAUCAGGACCUCAAGCAGACUUAUUGGUGGACUCGAAUGAAGCGCGAGAUUGCUCAAUUUGUGAAUGAGUGUGAUGUCUGCAGAAGAGUGAAGGCAGAACACCAAAGGCCAGCUGGUCUCCUCCAACCUCUUGCCAUUCCAGAAUGGAAGUUUGACCACAUUGAGAUGGACUUCGUGACUGGGUUUCCAAAGUCCAAGCGUGGCAAUGAUGCUAUAUUCGUUGUCAUCGACAAACUCACUAAAGUGGCUCACUUUCUGCCUAUCAAAGAGUCAAUCACUGCAGCUCAAUUGGCGGAACUCUAUACCUCUCGAAUUGUCUCUCUGCAUGGUAUUCCUCAAGUGAUAUCUUCAGACCUUGGCAGCAUCUUUACCUCCAAGUUUUAGGAUUCUUUUCAGAAGGCCAUGUGCACCAACAUCCACUUCAGCACAACUUUCCAUCCUCAAACUAGUGGUCAAGUCGAGCGUGUCAACUAGAUUCUUGAAGAUAUGCUCAUGGCUUGUGUGAUCUCCUUUGGCAUGAAGUGGGAGGAUUGUCUUCCUUAUGCUGAAUUCUCCUACAACAACAGUUUUCAAGCAAGUUCGGGCAAGGCCCCAUUUGAAAUCCUGUAUGGCAGGAAGUGCCGUACCCCUCUCAACUGUGCUGAAACCGGUGAACGUCAGCUGCUGGGUAAUGACUUAAUCACAGAGGCAGAGGAAAUGUGCAAAGUCAUUCAAGAUAACCUCAAAGCAGCCCAAUCCCGCCAGAAGAGCUCCUAUGAUAGUAAGCACCGUGAUUUGGCUUUCGAGAUCGGAGAUCAUGUUUACUUCCGUGUCUCUCCUAUGAAAGGUACUCGUCACUUCGGUAUCAAAGGGCAGCUUGCCCCCAGAUACGUGGGACCUUUCAAGAUAGUCAUCAAGAGAGGCGAUCUCGCCUAUCAACUCGAGCUUCCUUCAAACUUUGCAAAUGUUCAUGAUGUGUUCCAUGCCUCUCAGCUCCGAAAGUGCUUCAAGACACCUGACCGCACCGUCAACUUCGAGGACAUUGAGCUCCAAGAAGAGCUCUCCUAUCGUGAGCACCCAGUUGCUAUUCUUGAAGAGACUGAACGCAAGACUCGCAACAAGUCAAUCAAAUUCCUCAAAGUCAAGUGGUCACACCAUUCCGACCAUGAAGCUACCUGGGAACGCGAAGAUCACCUCUGUUCUGAGUACCCGGCGUUCUUUCAGUCCUAGAUCUCGGGACGAGAUCCUUUCGUAGUGGUGGAGUGUUGUAACACCCCGGAUAUGACUUUCCCAAUAUGUAUUCCAACUCUUGCCGUUUCCGGCCUUAAGUUAUUUUAUUUUCUUGGGUUCGGGUCUUUGUCUCCGUGUGUUGUUAUCGUUGUCAUGCAUCUCAUAUCAUGUCAUCAUGUGCAUUACAUUUGCAUAUGUGUUCAUCUCAUGCAUUCAAGCAUUUUCCCCGUUGUCCGUUUUGCAUUCCAGCGCUUCGUUCUCCUCCGGUGGUCAUUUCUACCUUUCUUUCAUGUGUGGGGAUUAAACAUUUCCGGAUUGGACCGAGACUUGCCAAGCGGCCUUGGUUUACUACCGGUAGACCGCCUGUCAAGUUUCGUACCAUUUGGACUUCGUUUGAUGCUCCAACGGUUAACCGAGAAACCGAAAAGGCCUCGUGUGUUUUGCAGCCCAACACCCCUCCAAGUUGGCCCAAAACCCACCAAAACCCUCUCCAUCAUCUAGAGCGUUUCCAUGUUGUUUCCAUGUGAUCUGUGCCUCUUUUGAGGAUGAUCAGUAAGGAUGUUUUGUUAAUCUUGUAGUGCUCUAUCCCUCCAUGUCUUUGUUUGCAAUUAUGGAGCACCCUAGCUUGAGUCAAUCGAGCUCUACUUUUGCUACUUCAUGAAUCUGGGCAGAUUGUCUACUUGUUAGCGAUUUUUCCGAGGAUGUUGUAGUUGAUCCGUGCAUGCUAUGCUAUUGUUCUUGCCAUGUCUCGCUUGCAUUUUGUGUAUUCUUGAUGGAUGUAUGCUUAGCUUGUCAUGACUUGCUCCGUAGUGAGUGCAUCGAGCUCGUAAACAUGCCUACUUGAUAUCUAUUUUCAGCAUGCUCUAGUUUUCACUAAGUCUGAGAACUGAUUAUGUUUUUGCCAUGUUCAUAUGCUUGCAAUUGUAUUUUCUGAUCCCUUUUGGCUCAAGGUCACUAAGGGACUUUUUUGGGGGGGAGGGGCAUUACAUACCCAGUGGUCAUUCACGUUGGCUGCCUCGGCCUCGCGUCGUUGUCCAACAACACAUUGUCCAUGGCCGCGAGCCGCGCAACAUCGUCCAGGGUUGAAUCGGCAACAUGAGAGAUGACAACCGAUUUGUUAUUAGUGCAGUUUACCUGUCAUAAAUUCAGAGAAACAUCAAUUAGAUCACAGGGCUGUGUUGUAAAUGAACAGGAAUCGGUGCACUAAACAUCUGUAAAAUUAGGCCUGCUCAUGAGAGCUCAGCAAUAAUACAUAAAAUCUUCCCAGUACCAAUAUGUAACAACGACAUCAAUAUUAAUCAAAAAAAUAUUCAUAGCUAAGUGUUCCAAACUGAAAAUUGAGACAACCCAAUAAUGCACAAGGAACCCGGGGAGGAGACAUGGAUCAUCUACCAGUGGUGGCCAACAAAUCUAACCAGGUCUCUUCGUGCACCUCUCCAGGGUCUUCGGGAGCGACAAGCUCGAACUGCCCCCACUUUCGUCUUCGUUCAUCCCUGCCUGCUCUGGAGUCUCACAGUCCAUCUCGUUGUUGGUGAUGAGAUCGAAGUGUGUCUUGUCGAGCUCGAGCACGAGCACGAGCACGAGCCCCUCGCCCUAGUCAAGCUCAUACACAUCACGGGUGUUCUGGGACCCGCCAAGCAUAUGAGCGGCGGGGCGUACCCAUUGACGCCAUACUCGUCGGAGAUGAGUCGAGCGAUGGGGGAAUCGACCCCACCAAGACGGGCGGGGUCGUUGAAGCAAGCGAG
rnacentral:lncRNA from 1 species